GAUGAACGCUGACGGCGUGCUUAACACAUGCAAGUCGAAGGGAGUGGCGAACGGGUGAGUAACACGUGAGUAACCUGCCCUUUUAUUUGGGAUAAGCCUGGGAAACUGGGGCUAAUACUGGAAGGAUUGGGAUGGGCUGGCGGCUUAUCAGCUUGGUGGUGGGGGGAUGGCUUACCAAGGCUUUGACGGGUAGCCGGCCUGAGGGGGGGGUCGGGCACACGGGGACGGGGACACGGCCCAGAGUCCUACGGGAGGCGGCAGUGGGGGAUAUUGCGCAAUGGACGAAAGUCUGAUGCAGCGACGUCGUGUGGGGGAUGAAGGCCUGCGGGUUGUAAACUCCUUUCGCCAGCGGAAUGGUAGUGGGUAAAGAAGCGCCGGCUAACUACGUGCCAGCAGCCGCGGUAAUAC
rnacentral:rRNA from 1 species